GAUGAACGCUGGCGGCGUGCCUAAUACAUGCAAGUCGAGCGAACAGACGAGGAGCUUGCUCCUCUGACGUUAGCGGCGGACGGGUGAGUAACACGUGGAUAACCUACCUAUAAGACUGGGAUAACUUCGGGAAACCGGAGCUAAUACCGGAUAAUAUAUUGAACCGCAUGGUUCAAUAGUGAAGGACGGUUUUGCUGUCACUUAUAGAUGGAUCCGCGCCGCAUUAGCUAGUUGGUAAGGUAACGGCUUACCAAGGCAACGAUGCGUAGCCGACCUGAGAGGGUGAUCGGCCACACUGGAACUGAGACACGGCCCAGACUCCUACGGGAGGCAGCAGUAGGGAAUCUUCCGCAAUGGGCGAUAGCCUGACGGAGCAACGCCGCGUGAGUGAUGAAGGUCUUCGGAUCGUAAAACUCUGUUAUUAGGGAAGAACAAAUGUGUAAGUAACUAUGCACGUCUUGACGGUACCUAAUCAGAAAGCCACGGCUAACUACGUG
rnacentral:rRNA from 1 species